UAUGGAUGGAGACCAGACAUUCAGAUCUGGAGUGCCGGCACAAGUAGAAAGUGAAAUCACUUCAGCAAACACAGAUGAUGAGGAGGAGGAGGAGGAUGACGACGACGAGGAAGAAGAAAACGUGGAUGAUCGGACCCCUGGGCUCUCCAAGGAGACAGUGAGAGCUUCGCUGUCUGACUUGUCAAGCCUCGAUGAUGUGGAAGGGAUGAUCGUGCGCCAGCUGAAGGAAAUCCUGGCUCGGAAUUUUGUCAACUUUUCUGGCUGUUGUGAAAAAUGGGAACUGGUAGAGAAAGUAAACCGGUUAUACAAAGAGAAUGAAGAAAACCAAAAGUCCCAUGGCGAGCGGCUGCAGCUGCAAGAUGAGGAAGACGUCAGCCUGUGUGGCAUCUGCAUGGAUGCUGUCAUCGACUGUGUCCUGCGGGAGUGCGGGCACGUGGUUACCUGCACCGAGUGCGGCAAGCGCGUGAGUGAGUGUCCCAUCUGCCGGCAGUAUGUGGUGCUAGCCAUGCAUGUGUUCAAGUCCUAAAACUGAGGCUCCCCUCAACAGGACAGUCACCCCAAACUUGACCCCAAACAUUUCUAUGCACAGAAGGGACUAGAAAGUUACUGUUCAAAGGCUGAAGCUAUUUUUAAAAAUUAUUUUCACUACUAAGUGGGGACAGAAAGAUCCAUACUGAGUUGUGGAAACCUUGGUCCAUGCCAUGAGCCUGUCUGCCUGUGGACACAUGAGCUUCCGGGGCUCAGCUGGGCUUUAUCACCCAUCCCUUGAACACUCAUUGAAGUCAGUCUGCUUGCAUCAUGUGGGCAACAGCUACUGUGUCUUUGGAGGACAGUUACCCCCUUCUCUUAUUUCCCCUUCAUCCUAUUUUUAACUUAAACUGCUCAGAUGUUUGAAACUUCUGUCCUCUUUGGGUGAGAUCAGUGUCCACAAGUGGCCGACAUGGAACAUGCUGAGCAGGGGCUCCUCUGAAUGUUUGCUUUUUUAGUCAUGUAUAUUUUAAAAGCUAACUAACAUUUGAUGAAUGUAAGUUUCCACAUUGUUGCUGUUUCUGCAUUUAAACAUAAUUGGGAACAACUGACAUUCUAUAGUCGACUGCCAGGGCCUUAGACUACACAUGUCCAUUUUUGUUCAGGUAUAGCUUUUUAUAGCAAGGGCUGCAUCUAGCUUCUUUUAUUAGAAGUGUGUGUGCUAAAUUCUUUAUUAAUGUGUAAUCAGUUUACACCAUUUUGUAUAGUGAAGGUGUAUUUUCAGUGCUACCUGCUAGCUGAUUUUAACUUUAGGAAUAAAAUUAGUUU